rnacentral:rRNA from 1 species
GUGGGGAAUAUUGGGCAAUGGGCGAAAGCCUGACCCAGCAACGCCGCGUGAAGGAAGAAGGCUUUCGGGUUGUAAACUUCUUUUGUCAGGGACGAAAAAAAUGACGGUACCUGACGAAUAAGCCACGGCUAACUACGUGCCAGCAGCCGCGGUAAUACGUAGGUGGCAAGCGUUAUCCGGAUUUACUGGGUGUAAAGGGCGUGUAGGCGGGAAAGCAAGUCAGAUGUGAAAACUAUGGGCUCAACCCAUAGCCUGCAUUUGAAACUGUUUUUCUUGAGUACUGGAGAGGCAGAUGGAAUUCCUAGUGUAGCGGUGAAAUGCGUAGAUAUUAGGAGGAACACCAGUGGCGAAGGCGAUCUGCUGGACAGCAACUGACGCUGAGGCGCGAAAGCGUGGGGAGCAAACAGGAUUAGAUACCCUAGUAGUCC